rnacentral:rRNA from 1 species
UACGGAGGAUGCAAGCGUUAUCCGGAAUUAUUGGGCGUAAAGGGUGCGUAGGCGGCAUGAUAAGUUAUUGGCGGCAAAUCGAGGCUCAACCUCGUGGAAACUAAUAAUACUGUCUUGCUUGAGUGCAGAAGAGGUUAACGGAACUCCAUGUGGAGCGGUAAAAUGUGUAGAUAUAUGGAAGAACAUCAAUAACGGCGAAGGCAGUUAACUAUUCUGUUACUGACGUUGAGGCACGAAAGCGUGGGGAGCAAAAAGG